rnacentral:rRNA from 1 species
AUUGUGGGGGCAACUCUGCAGUCUAGUGGCGGACGGGUGAGUAACACGUGGGUAACCUGCCCGGAAGUGGGGAAUACCUCGGGGAAACUCGAGCUAAUACCGCAUGACAUCUUCGGGACGAAAGUCCUGACGAUCAAAGCGGGGUCGCAAGAUCUCGCGCUACCGGAUGGGCCCGCGCCCGAUUAGCUAGUUGGUGAGGUAACGGCUCACCAAGGCUUCGAUCGGUAACCGGCCUGAGAGGGCGAUCGGUCACACCGGAACUGAGACACGGUCCGGACUCCUACGGGAGGCAGCAGUGGGGAAUCUUGCGCAAUGGGCGAAAGCCUGACGCAGCAACGCCGCGUGGAGGAUGAAGGCCCUUGGGUUGUAAACUCCUGUCGGCUGGGAAGAAAUCGUUCGGGGCUAAUACCUUCGGACGUUGACUGUACCAGCAAAGGAAGCCCCGGCUAACUCUGUGCCAGCAGCCGCGGUAAUACAGAGGGGGCCAGCGUUAUUCGGAAUUAUUGGGCGUAAAGGGCGCGUAGGCGGCCAUGCGUGUCUCCCGUGAAAUCCCUCGGCUUAACUGAGGACGUGCGGGAGAAACUGCAAGGCUCGAGUCCGGGAGAGGGGGGGUGGAAUUCCCAGUGUAGCGGUGAAAUGCGUAGAUAUUGGGAGGAACACCGGUGGCGAAGGCGGCCCCCUGGACCGGUACUGACGCUGAGGCGCGAAAGCGUGGGUAGCAAACGGGAUUAGAUACCCCGGUAGUCCACGCCGUAAACGAUGGGCACUUGGUGUCGCGGGUAUCGACCCCUGC